UAUAGAUCUAUGGAUUUGAACUGUCUUCAUCAUCACACCUCGAAAUGCUUGAUAAGACAAGCUGUUGCUUUCUCAUCUGAAGAUCCCCUUACAGAAGGACAACAAAUGACAUGAUUUUGGACUUCAAUGGGAAACUGUGGGAAAUCCCAGACAGCACUCCAACUCCAACCCAACUAUCUUCUGCAAAUGAUGUGAACAUCAGUUGUUCGACAGGACUGAAGUAUCAUUCUGUAACAAAAGGACAGACAUUCUUACAUCAACUGUCAAGAAAUCUUAUGUCUGGAAUCUUUGAACACUUUGAAUUUUGUACUUGGAACAGAGUCUUCUUGCUGGCAUUGUAGUUAUAGUAAAUUUUACUAAAAAGUAAUUUAGAAAUCAUUGGGAAAUAUUGACCAGAGGAGUGUUGACAAAAGUUAGAAAUAAGAAAAUUGGGUAAAAGUCUACUGUUUGGCAAUAGAAUAACUGAGGCGGAUAUGACAAAGCUG
rnacentral:lncRNA from 1 species